UAGGGAAUCUUCGGCAAUGGGGGCAACCCUGACCGAGCAACGCCGCGUGAGUGAAGAAGGUUUUCGGAUCGUAAAGCUCUGUUGUAAGAGAAGAACGUGUGUGAGAGUGGAAAGUUCACACCGUGACGGUAACUUACCAGAAAGGGACGGCUAACUACGUGCCAC
rnacentral:rRNA from 1 species